rnacentral:rRNA from 1 species
UACGUAGGGAGCAAGCGUUGUCCGGAAUCAUUGGGCGUAAAGCGCGCGUAGGUGGCCUCGUAAGUCCGCUGUGAAAGUCCAAGGCUCAACCUUGGAAAGCCGGUGGAUACUGUGAGGCUAGAGUACGGAAGAGGCGAGUGGAAUUCCUGGUGUAGCGGUGGAAUGCGCAGAUAUCAGGAGGAACACCAAUAGCGAAGGCAGCUCGCUGGGACGUUACUGACACUGAGGCGCGAAAGCGUGGGGAGCGAGCAGG